AAAAAAGGCUGAAUCUCUAAUGAUCCACGUUUAUCAUCAAUCACUUUCACAAAACUGUUUUAUCCAAAAAGACAAGAGAAAAGACACAACUGAUUUUAAGCCAUCAACUUCCAACAUCAAAAUGCAAAUCCAUAAGCUUUUUUCUGGAUCUACAGUUCCACAGACUUUGAUUUGAUUAAACAAAACAAAAACAUAUCAUCUCAAAAGUACUAAAAGUGAGAUCUAUUUUAAGGUACAAGUUAACCACAUUGUACAUGUUACAUAACAUAAUCCAUAACAUUAUUGAAUACUAAGAAAUUAAGCAUUAUCAUACAAAAUUUCUAAGCGUUUAGAACAAAGAGUACAAGAGUAUUUUCUCUUGAUUUGAAAACACAUGGUUAAGAAACAGAGCUUGGAUUGAACCUCAACAUCCAUGGCUUCAACUUUGCCACCACAGAAAGGACAAGAACCAGGUGCUUUUUGUCUUCCUAGUUCCUUCUGUUCGCCUUCCCAAACGUAAGACAGCCACAUUUUUCUCAUGUUUUCCUCCGUUUUGAUGAUGUUUGUGUUGUGUUGUGGGGACUCAAAUGAAAGAAGAGAGAAAGUGUCUCAAUCUUGGUAUGGGCAUAAAUGGAGUUCAGUUGGUUGUAUUUAUAGAGGGGCAACUUUGGUUGUUGCAUUGUUUUGGAUUUCCA
rnacentral:lncRNA from 1 species